rfam:Gossypium arboreum cultivar AKA8401 contig_7606_1, whole genome shotgun sequence.
CCGACCUUAGCUCAGUUGGUAGAGCGGAGGUCUGUAGUGGCAAUCAUGGCUAUCCUUAGGUCGCUGGUUCGAAUCUGGCAGGUCGGA